rnacentral:misc_RNA from 1 species
UUAAAUAUUAUAUGGUACUCAGACGUUAUUAACAGAAGAGUUUAGGUCCUCUGGCGGGCGCGGUCAGCCGGAGCCAACGCCUUGCGGCGGCCCGCCAAAGCAACAAAGAAGGUAGACACGGGUUUAAAUCACGACUCCUUAAGGCGGUAUUCCUACCCACCAUCGCAAGCUUACAAAUAGGUCGGACUUGUUGACGGGUGCCGCGCAAGCGCACGGCUGUCCCGGGAGCCCGUAAGCCCCUCCUUCCCUAUAAGCAGAAAUCCGGCCUCCUAGGCUACCCGGAUCCAAAUGCGAGGAAUCUGUCCUACCCGACGAACGGGCAUGGGACGACUUAGUAAUGAUCCUUCCGCAGGUUCACCUACGGAAA